rnacentral:rRNA from 1 species
AACGAACGCUGGCGGCAUGCCUAACACAUGCAAGUCGAACGAGACCUUCGGGUCUAGUGGCGCACGGGUGCGUAACGCGUGGGAACCUGCCCUUAGGUUCGGAAUAACUCCCCGAAAGGGGUGCUAAUACCGGAUAAUGUCUUCGGACCAAAGAUUUAUCGCCUUUGGAUGGGCCCGCGUUGGAUUAGCUAGUUGGUAGGGUAAAAGCCUACCAAGGCGACGAUCCAUAGCUGGUCUGAGAGGAUGAUCAGCCACACUGGGACUGAGACACGGCCCAGACACCCCCGGGGGGGACAGGUGGGGGAUAUUUCGCAAUGGGGGAGAGCCUGAAAGAGAGCUGCCGCGUGGGGGUAGAAGGGCCUUGGGGGUUGAACUGCUUUUUCCCGAGAAGAAAUAAUGACGGUACCGGGGGAAUAAGCCCCGGCUAACUCCGUG